rnacentral:rRNA from 1 species
UCGAACGCGAAAGUCCCGCAAGGGAUCAGUAGAGUGGCAAACGGGUGAGUAACGCGUGGGUGACCUGCCUUCGAGCGGGGGAUAACGUUCCGAAAGGGGCGCUAAUACCGCAUAACAUCCUGCCUUUGAACAGGUGGAGAUCAAAGCUGGGGAUCGCAAGACCUAGCGCUGGAAGAGGGGCCCGCGCCUGAUUAGCUAGUUGGUGGGGUAACGGCUCACCAAGGCAACGAUCAGUAUCCGGCCUGAGAGGGCGGACGGACACACUGGGACUGAGACACGGCCCAGACUCCUACGGGAGGCAGCAGUGGGGAAUUGUUCGCAAUGGGCGCAAGCCUGACGACGCAACGCCGCGUGGAGGAUGAAGACCUUCGGGUCGUAAACUCCUUUCGAUCGAGACGAAUGGCCUCCGGGUGAACAAUCCGGAGGAGUGACGGUACCGAGAGAAGAAGCCCCGGCUAACUCCGUGCCAGCAGCCGCGGUAAUACGGGGGGGGCAAGCGUUGUUCGGAAUUACUGGGCGUAAAGGGCUCGUAGGUGGCCGACUAAGUCAGACGUGAAAUCCCUCGGCUUAACCGGGGAACUGCGUCUGAUACUGGAUGGCUCGAGUUCGGGAGAGGGAUGCGGAAUUCCAGGUGUAGCGGUGGAAUGCGUAGAUAUCUGGAGGAACACCGGUGGCGAAGGCGGCAUCCUGGACCGACACUGACACUGAGGAGCGAAAGCCAGGGGAGCAAACGGGAUUAGAUACCCCGGUAGUCCUGGCCUAAACGAUGAAUGC